rnacentral:rRNA from 1 species
GACGAACGCUGGCGGCGUGCUUAACACAUGCAAGUCGAACGGAAAGGCCCUGCUUGCAGGGUACUCGAGUGGCGAACGGGUGAGUAACACGUGGGUGAUCUGCCCUGCACUUCGGGAUAAGCUUGGGAAACUGGGUCUAAUACCGGAUAGGACCGCACUUUAGUGUGUGUGGUGGAAAGUUUUUUCGGUGUAGGAUGAGCUCGCGGCCUAUCAGCUUGUUGGUGAGGUAAUGGCCUACCAAGGCGGCGACGGGUAGCCGGCCUGAGAGGGUGUACGGCCACAUUUGGACUGGGAUACGGCCCAGGCUCCUACGGGAGGCAGCAGGGGGGAAUAUUGCACAAUGGGCGCAAGCCUGAUGCAGCGACGCCGCGUGGGGGAUGAAGGCCUUCGGGUUGUAAACUCCUUUCGCUAGGGACGAAGCUUUGUUGUGACGGUACCUAGAUAAGAAGCACCGGCUAACUACGUG